AUAUACAAACUGCUUCUAACUAUCCACUAAUUACGGCUCUAAUUACUCCUAAAGUUCCACCUAACAUGAUUUUUACUUUUACUGUGUGUACAGGUUAGUUGACAGGGAAAUGAUGAACUAUGAUUCUGAUCCCUACUUUUUCUCUUCAUCCGACAAUAAUGAAUUUAUCAUUAUUAUGAUCCGAGUCCUUGACAGGUUGCUUACUUAGUUCCAUAAGAAGCGCCUGUACAAGCAAGUUGGUGGAGUUAAGCUUAUGGUGCAACUCAUCAAGCAAUAAAUAACUUGUAGCAAGUUGUUGUUUAGUGGAGUUGAGCUCUUGGAGAAGAUGAUUGGAAUCCCAGAUAGGGAAAGGGACGUGAUUAGUGUAGGAAGGUAGUUUCAGGCUCAAAGAAGGGCCAGCAAAGAUAUAGAUAGUUAAAAGAUUGGUUAAUAUUAGAAGAACAAGCAUCUUGAGCUUGUACUUGGCGUGGAGUUGUUGAUUUUGUGAAUGCCUUUUCUGGUAAUCAUCGGCUCCACUUCCCAUUUUUCACUUUCUGUCUCUUCCACUUUAGAAGUAGUAUAUAGUAUUUGAAAGAAGAUAGAAAGUAGAAGAAAGGAAGGGAAUAAGAGGAGAAAGAAAGAUUGCAUGUUCUUGUAGAAGCUUUGGUGAGUGUGAAUCGCCGGCCAGUUUGGACUUUCAGGAAUUUAGCAAUUAGUAUAUAUUGAAGAUGACAAUUUCAAUUCUUAUUACCACUCACUCCGGAUCUUGGCUCGCUUCUCAUUAAUGAGAAAGGGAUUCAUGUUUACCAAUAAGCCUAGAGAUUUGCUUCAAGCUAUUAUUUUAUCAAGUGACAUAUACAAGUGUGCAAUAAUUAAAAUUA